UGUGGUGUGUGGCGCUAUAUUGUGGC
rnacentral:piRNA from 1 species